AGAGACAGAGACAGCUUCUCUGAAGAGCUAUUGCAAAAUGCUUCAGCCCAGCCAGUCCCUUCAGCCCCACAUUCUGGCACACCUGUGCUGGGUGCACACCCCUGUGGGAGCCCACACCUGCUGUGGGCUGGGAAGAAUCAGGAAGAGACAAAGACAUUACCUGGCUUCAAUCAAGGCAUUUCCUACAGCACCCAGCCAACAGCAGGAAAUGUUCUCGCUCGGGUUAUAUCUAGUUUUUCUCUGCAACAGGGACCCAAGACCAAAACAUUUUAACAUGAAUACGCAUUGGAACUGAAAUUCUUGGGUCUUGCAAGAAGAAGUCUUUGUCCCACAACCUACCCCAUGCUGGACUUGAACCUGUGCACUGCCACAUACUGUUCAUUCAGUGCCGAAGAUCAAAGCCGGAGUUCUAUGCUCUCUAGCUAAACACUCUACCAUUUAUCAUGUCAUGUGUGUUAGGUAGGAGAAAACCUUUUCCCUUCUCAGCUUCAGGGAUUAGCAUUUACACAUUAAAUGGUUGGAAGACA
rnacentral:lncRNA from 1 species